rnacentral:lncRNA from 9 species
CUUUAAUUCAUUUUUAGGUAGGCCCUUGCAUAAUACAUAAGAAAACAGGAGAACAAAAGAUGUAAAUGGUGGUAUUCUGAUGUACAGAUUGCUUUGGGCAUUUGUCUUCAGCCCUCAGCUAAAAUAUAUAAGAUUUGGUUAGGAUAAGCAUGCCUUUUACUUCUUUUAUUUUAUGAUGUUUUAUGCGAAAUCAGCACCAAGAAUAAGAAUUUUGCAGGAACACACACAUUCCUGAAAUAGAAAUUAUUUCUACCUUCAGAGUCUGAUUAUUCUAGAGGGUAAUUCACGCCAGUUUGGUGAAAUUCACUCUGUUCUCUGGUACUGAAAAGAGUGAUUCCCAUCAAAACAAUUAAUGUUCAAGAUGACAAAUAAAAUAGUCUUUCUUCUCGAGGGUACUUUUUAAAUACUUAGUCCACCCCUAGGCAAUUAGCAUCAGUGGUUAUAUGGUAAUCUACCUUUCUCGCCUUCUGUACAUGUUACAGGAGGCAAAUGAGGGUUUUGCAAGCUUGAUGUUAGACUUGUGACUCCAGGCAAUAUGAACUAAGAAUUGUGCUUUGUGACCUGUUCCACUGGAGCAUCACAAUGGGUCAUACCUUAUUGUACUUAGACUUGGUGCAGUGCCCUCUCCUUAAAUCAAGGCUGAGCCUGAAAGUCUCUCUAACCAAUAGACCAUUGUGGCGAUGAUACUGUCCUUGCUCCUAAAGAAAGCCUGGGAGCUGCUGCUUUUGCAUUUCUGGAAGCCUAGGCUUCAAUGAAGGAAGUAUGACAAUUGUGCUUGAGAUACUAUAUUCCAAGACCCAUGUGGAGGGAGCAUAUAGAGCAGCAGAAACCCUGACACCACUGGAGGAGAACGCAAAAACCCAAAUGAAAGAGAAAAUGGAAGUCCUAGACAGACGAUCAACAGUUAAGCCUUUCUGGACCACAUAUACAUCUGAGGCAUGUAAAAGAGAAUAAUUUACUGAUCCUGAAAAAUCCCUGAGUGAGACUGGGAGAAAGCAAAAAUGACUUGAACUCAGCAAAACCUAUCCCAAUCUAGAAAACACAAUUUCCCCAGAUCCCUUUGCUCUUUCUGGAUUUAGAGUGAGUGCCCAGAUGAUGUUUCAUUUAUUCAUUUCAUCUGCCCAUUCCCUGAGCAUUAAAAACACUUGUAAAGAAUUCUGCAAUGUGUCAAAAGAACUACUUCCUUACCUACUUCUUUUUUUUUUUUUUAACAUUUUAGGUGCUAGUAAUUUUAAGGUAAU